UAGGGAAUCUUCGGCAAUGGACGAAAGUCUGACCGAGCAACGCCGCGUGAGUGAAGAAGGUUUUCGGAUCGUAAAACUCUGUUGUUAGAGAAGAACAAGGACGUUAGUAACUGAACGUCCCCUGACGGUAUCUAACCAGAAAGCCACGGCUACUACGGGCCAGCAGCCGCGGUAAUACGUAGGUGGCAAGCGUUGUCCGGAUUUAUUUGGCGUAAAGCGAGCGCAGGCGGUUUCUUAAGUCUGAUGUGAAAGCCCCCAGCUCAACCGGGGAGGGUCAUUGGAAACUGGGAGACUUGAGUGCAGAAGAGGAGAGUGGAAUUCCAUGUGUAGCGGUGAAAUGCGUAGAUAUAUGGAGGAACACCAGUGGCGAAGGCGGCCCCCUGGACAAAGACUGACGCUCAGGUGCGAAAGCGUGGGGAGCAAACAGG
rnacentral:rRNA from 1 species